GGGUUGGAGGGCUUGCCGUCCUGCAGAGUCAUGUCCUCAGGGAGGUCCUCUCUUCAUUCCAGUUUCUGGGGCUGGAUGCCGGCGUCUUCCAGCACCGGCCACAGAGCGUCGUGCACCUGAAGACAAGAAUCAGAGGGAGUUUUCCUCCGCCUCCUGCUUCAGGCGCUGCCACUUGCGCUGCGCUUCUGGGGCUAAACGCCGGCUUUCUGGCGCGUGACCUACACCUCGGAACCAUUGACCAUGGAGCUGAGGGGAGCUGCGUACAGUGUGUGCUGAGUCAUGUGAGCGAGUUCCAGCGCACCACUGCAUCUGACCUUGAAGUCCAAGUUCAUCCGUGGUGCACCAUGUGGCCACCCUGGAAAAAAGCAAGCAGACCUCUCUAAGGAACCCCACUGCCUAGAUACCACGUACCCAUAAUCCUUGGUAUACUUGGCCUUGGCUGAUACCUCCAUCCCCCAGAUCCAUUUGGGUUUGCAUCAGACCUUUUGGAUUACAGAAUUUUUCUCCUAAGACGAUCAUUCUUAUUUGACUUGACAGAAAAAGUUGUUUUCCGAGGAGUCUUCUCUCCAUGUUACCCUUUGAGAUGACUGCCUGGAUGGCACAGGUGCUGUGCUUGGCCUGUGAACCAAGAAGAUGUGUUCUGCCCUACAGAAGCUGGUGACCCAGAGGAAGAAGAGACAAAUCUGGAUCGACCUUGCAUCCUUUCUCUGCUUUCCAAACAAAUCCGAAUGUUCGGACAUGAACUUGACAGUGUUCAUCUCACCGUUGCCCUGGAGACAGUAAGUCAGAUGUGUACAUAUCUUUUCGGUCUAUGCCGUCUGUCCUGUUACCUAUUUUUACUCUUGGAUACCCUUAAAAAGAAACUUUAAACUUUGAAACAAACCCCAGUGCUCUUGGUCUUUGGGUUGUAUACCUUUUGACAGCCUUCAAUGCAAAACAGUACAGCUCUGCCCAGACUGUUUCUGUGGUACACGGCAGACCCAGCCAGGGUGAGCCAAGCCAGCAGGUGUUUGUUUAACACUUAGUAUUUUGAUUUACCUAAGAUAAGCACUUCUCCUACUUCUUCCGCUGUGUUACUUGUUCUAAUUCAGCUUCUUUUCCUGUGCUAUUAUUGCUAACUAGAGCCAGUUAAAGAAUGGAAAGAGAGCUAACAAGGGGUUUGUAGGAUGGUAAGUAGAAUUUUCUUGCUCGGCAUUUUGGCUCACGUACCAUUCUUUGAAAACCUGGGUAUCUAGGACUCAGGCAUCGUCACUAAACUUAUUUACCACGGAAUUCUUUAUUCUCUCAUUUACAACCGCCUUGAAGAAUACUUGAGAAUGUUAGACUUAUCCAAAUGUGAAGUGCACUGAAACUCAGCGUAACCCUUUGACUCUGUAAAAUGAAGCCCAGGUGUAUAGAUUAAUGUCCAGAAGAGAGUUUUUGAAGGAGUGGCCCUUUCAAAUAAUUCUUAUUAGCUAGGACAACAUUUAAAAACUCCUGUGUUAAGCCCCUCAUAUAAUGCUUUGUGCUUUGACAGGCUUCUCUAACUCCCCUGGACAGAGCGAGUUGUUUUUCCAAGUCUCCUCUGCCCUAUGUACUGUAUUUAUCUAUUUUAUUUACUUUUAAAUUCUCUUCUUGCCUACGAUAGCGACUAGGACGUAAUAGGUGACCAGAAAAACGCUUGUUGAAUUGAACUGAGGAAGAGCCUUCCUUAUUCUGAUACUGUGCCAAAACAAUCUACACUGAGUAUUAUAAUGAGUGGUGAAAUAUUUAAAAGCUUUCCUUUGAGAUUGGGACGUAAACAAGCAUGUCCGCUAUCAUCACUUCUUUUUAAUGUCCCAUUGCAUGUCCUAGACAGUUCAAUAAAGGAAGGAAAAGAAAUUUUAAUAUAUGAGGAUAGAACAGGAAGAAAGAUGUAUAUGUAAAUGGUUUGACUCCACAUAAAGCCGAAGAAAUAAUUACUUUACUGGAUCCCAGAUAAACCAGAAAGUAGGGAUUUUUUUUUUUUUUUUUUUUUUUUUAGCCUGGUGAUAUUGAGUACCUAAGCAUUUUGUCUGGGUCAAUGCAGUUAUCACACUGCAUUGUGUGACAAGAAACACUUGUCAUGUAUCUCGGUGUCAUUGAAACACCACUGAGAAUUUUGUCCUCUCUCAUCUGUAAUAUUCUACAUGGACAAUAACUGCAGAUUCUGACUUAGAAAGUAAGACUCAGUCAUAAGCCAAAAUCGGCCUGUACCAGCUCCUGGGAGCAGAUUGAUCACAUUUCUUUUUAACUCUGGGUUUCUUGUCCUCAAUCACUUCAGUAGCUUGAAAUCGUCAGCCAUGCUGGGAGUGUUUACAUCACAGAAACUGGCCCAAACCGCAGGUCAGUACUGAGGCCCUCGCCUACCAAGGCUGGUCACUAAACAUUGACUAACACACUACUGGGCAUCAGAUAAUGACAUGAAACGUUCUGACAGCUUCAUUGAAAGGGCAAAGAAACUAUUGACAUGAUGUCUUAAAAUUGGGGGUUUUGUUUUAAAUAGGAAAACAGGUACCUGAAGUUAGAGAAGAAUCUCCGUUUAGACUUAGAUGUUGAGUUCCAGACAUGUGGAAUGACCGCCAUCCAAUUUAAUUUAAAAAAAAAAAAAAAAGGAAUUUCAUUGUUUUUGGAUCCAGUGAAAGGGAGGUUUUUUUUAAAAAAUUGAUUUUUGUUUUAAAGUUCAAUAAAAUUUUAUUAAUUUAAUUAGUUCCUAUCAAUUUUUAAAUAAGCAGUGGCUUAGAUUAAAUUUGCACUCUUGCUCUCUCACGCGCACUCUCUCCUUCUCUCCCUCCCCGCCCCCCUUAUUUAACCCAAACUCCUCGAGCACAUUAAUGGGUCUGGUCUGUCCUUUUACAGUUGGAGCGGCAUUGGUGAUUGUAAAUCAAGGCAAUGUUUAACCAGGAUUUCGCGGUGUUGUUUCUGUUAGGAUUUUGAGGGUUUUCCAUAAGGGUAUAUGUUAUGGGAAAAGCACAUACAAACCGGGAAAAGGAAGUUUGCUGGAAGCUGGAAGGGGGUUGUGUUGAUGGUGGCUGUUCCUUUAAGACAAUCACCCUGGGUGUCAUGAUCAGAAAGGGGAUUCAAGCGUGGACGUGGUAUGGGCAGGCAUCCGUAGGAUGGUCUGAGUUCGCCUUCCAAGUGCGUGCGGGCUUGGGGGGAGCUGGAGGAGGAAGGGGAUCUUGCAGUGUGGUCGGAAGCGUGCCAGCUCAUGGAGUUCGCUGGUGGUGCCGUGAGUUGAGGAUCCUGCAUUGUCACUGCUGCGGCUUGAGUCACAGCUGUGGCACAGGUGUGCAUGCUGUGGGUGCAACCAAAAAAAAAGAAAAAAAAA
rnacentral:lncRNA from 9 species